UGGGGAAUUUUGGACAAUGGGGGCAACCCUGAUCCAGCAAUGCCGCGUGUGUGAAGAAGGCCUUCGGGUUGUAAAGCACUUUUAGUGGGGAAGAAAGGUUCGAGGUUAAUACCUUCGAAUGUUGACGUUACCCAAAGAAAAAGCACCGGCUAACUCUGUGCCAGCAGCCGCGGUAAUACAGAGGGUGCAAGCGUUAAUCGGAAUUACUGGGCGUAAAGCGCGUGUAGGUGGAUAUUUAAGUCGGGUGUGAAAUCCCCGGGCUCAACCUGGGAAUUGCAUUCGAUACUGGUUGUCUAGAAUAUGGUAGAGGGAAGCGGAACUUUCGGUGUAGCGGUGAAAUGCGUAGAUAUCGGAAAGAACAUCAGUGGCGAAGGCGGCUUCCUGGACCAAUAUUGACACUUAAGCGCGAAAGCGUGGGGAGCAAACAGGAUUAGAUACCCCCGUAGUCC
rnacentral:rRNA from 1 species